GAAGGAGCUCCUUUGGUAUUGUUAAAACCAUCUGAAUAUACAGCACCUGUCGUGUUGUGGAUGCUGCUAGAAACAAACAAUACAUCAGAAUAAAGAUAGUACUUCACGUAGGUGAAACCRGGUCUCAGAUCAGUGUUCCUUACAAGAACUGCUGUGCAAUCAUGUUUUCAAAUGUGCAAGCAAAGCUGAAUAAACAUCUGGGAUCCAUACAUUGCUUCUGAGAGUAAUACCUAACUUCUGUGUAAGGUGUUUAAACCUAAGACUUUACAAAGGAGGUCAGUAUCACUACCCCAGUUUCACAGAUGGAGAAAUCAAAGAAAGGGAGAUGAAAUGACUUGUACAAAAUUUGACAACAGGCUUAGUUUGGAAUAGGAACCAGUCUCCUGACAGCCAUGGAAAUAGCUGAGGUCUCUUUCUUUGUCUGGCAAAGAUGACUCAGAGUCAACAAUGAGAGCAAAACUGAGAGAAGUUCCUGAAAUGGACAGUCAAGAUCAUGACGUUAUAAAUAAUGGAAUGAUUAAAUCUGAGCUGCUUCUUGUUGUUGCUGUUGUUUCCCAGUGUGGCGAGUUCCUUUCCUGACCAAAGCUAACCAGGGAAGGAAGGAAAGAAACCAAACCAAAGGAUCUGAUGAACUGGUCUGAAUGGAAACGUUUACUGGGCCGAUGGAGGGACAGGCUGAUUCCCAGCAGCAGGCUAGAAUAAGCUGUUCSUCUGCAAGCGCUGGUGGCUGUGCUGUUGUCAGAGAGCAGAUCCUGAAGAGUGUGAUUGCAUGCAUUCCUGCAUGCAUUUCGGAGAGGCACCAUUGAGAAGUAUCUGCUAGACCAUGUUGGCUUUCCCUGAGGAGGAGCAGCCAAAAAAACCCCAAAGCCCACAGCAUUUUAAGCACGUGGAACGCUUGUAAUAGGUGAGAGACUGAUUGCACUGGAAACAGAAGUCUUAUCUGCUGAGCAGCUACUGGAUAUCGCAGGGAACAGCUUCCCUUGCAACGCCCGCAUGGCAGCACGCCAUGGCCCUGUCCUGGGGUGACCAGUUGUUAGUCGGAGAUGCCUUGUGACCCGUUCAUUCACGGGCCUAGGGGCCAAACUGUACAACAAGGGCGCCGGCUUGCUGGGUGCUAAAUUGAGGCCUACCGACUCKGUUUGUAUAGACUUUUAUUUUUCAGCAGAGCCAGACUCGAACCUCUGUAAAAGAUGGUGGGAAUUCUCAUCCAUCCGAGCUGCUGGCUGCAAACUUCACAACAGGAUUUCUGCCUCCAGUUGCAACUCACUGCUGCAGCCUUGUAUUCCAAGUCCAGCUUAUGGGGAAACAUAAAACAGAGAUGAACUCCUCUUUUCCUUUUCUGUGUGCCYGAAGCCUAUCCUCACGUUCUUUGCAGCUGGUUACUGCGCUAGUUCCCUGAAUCUCAUUCAGAGUGCUGCACCUACAAGCCAGAUACUUGUCAUCUCUUUAAAAGAUGUUUGUUUCCACAGAAAAAUAGCAAUGAGGUUACUGUCUGCUCCCUUCACAGGCAGGCAGGCUGGGAGAAGUUCAAAUAUCCAAUCAUCUCUUGGAAUUUGUAUUGCAUAAAGAUAAAGUAGCCAAAAAUAGUUUCCAUGAACUGGAUGGUUCUGCAGCUUUCUGUGUUUAUCUACAGGAAAAUGUUAAGAAGUACAGUAGGUCAUGCACUAAACUGAGCAAAACCGUGGGGCAUGUAGAAGCUCACCRAGACGAGCUUAUUUAUUUAUUUGAUUAACUUAACCUCUCUCUGUGUGAGCACUGCCUGCAGUUUCCUUGCAUUGCUCUUGUGUUUAUUUGAUAAACAGAAAAAGCAACGCCGCUUCACCCUGAGGAAUUACAGAGAUGCUUGA
rnacentral:lncRNA from 1 species